rnacentral:lncRNA from 1 species
UGGGGGUGGGGCAGGGAGAGGGAUAAGAAUGCACAAGGGAAAUGUUUAAAUGCAGAACCAUCUCAAUGGACAGAAUGACUUGUUAAAAUGCUUCCUGGUGUCUCUGAAAGCAUUUAAGGAUAAACUGGUUAUGUUUCAUGCUAUAAGUAAACAUCUCAAGCGGAUAACAGGAGUUAAAUUGGUGAGAUUUUAUACUGUUACAUUAUGUCUUUCUAUGUUAGAUGAGAUUUUAGUAACCUGUAGUAUUUGUUAUUGAUAGGCAUCCUAUCACUCAUCCCUCAUGCUUCAGGGCACCUUUCUUCUUUACCCCACUCCCUCUUCUGAACGUCACAUUUUCUCAUUCUCUUGUGUG